rnacentral:rRNA from 1 species
UCGAGAAUCUUCGGCAAUGGACGCAAGUCUGACCGAGCGACGCCGCGUGCGGGAUGAAGGCCUUCGGGUUGUAAACCGCUGUCAGAGGGGAUGAAAUGCGUAGAGGCUAUCCUUUACGCUUGACAGAGCCUCAGAGGAAGCACGGGCUAAGUACGUGCCAGCAGCCGCGGUGAUACGUACUGUGCGAACGUUAUUCGGAAUUACUGGGCUUACAGGGUGUGUAGGCGGCUGAAUAAGUAGGGUGUGAAAU